CCUACGGGUGACAGCAGUCGAGAAUCAUUCACAAUGGGGGAAACCCUGAUGGUGCGACGCCGCGUGGGGAAAUGAAGGUCUUCGGAUUGUAAACCCCUGUCAUGUGGGAGCAAAUUAAAAAGAUAGUACCACAAGAGGAAGAGACGGCUAACUCUGUGCCAGCAGCCGCGGUAAUACAGAGGUCUCAAGCGUUGUUCGGAAUCACUGGGCGUAAAGCGUGCGUAGGCAGUUUCGUAAUGCGUGUGUGAAAGGGGCGGGCUCAACCCGCGGACGGCACAUGAUACUGCGAGACUAGAGUAAUGGAGGGGGAACCGGAAUGCUCGGUGUAGCAGUGAAAUGCGUAGAUAUCGAGAGGAACACUCGUGGCGAAGGCGGGUUCCUGGACAUUAACUGACGCUGAGGCACGAAGGCCAGGGGAGCGAAAGGGAUUAGAUACCCUUGUAGUC
rnacentral:rRNA from 1 species